GAUGAACGCUAGCUACAGGCUUAACACAUGCAAGUCGAGGGGAAACGAUAUUGGAAGCUUGCUUCCGAUAGGCGUCGACCGGCGCACGGGUGAGUAACGCGUAUCCAACCUGCCCAUCACUUGGGGAUAACCUUGCGAAAGUAAGACUAAUACCCAAUGACGUCUCUAGAAGACAUCUGAAGGAGAUUAAAGAUUUAUCGGUGAUGGAUGGGGAUGCGUCUGAUUAGCUUGUUGGCGGGGUAACGGCCCACCAAGGCGACGAUCAGUAGGGGUUCUGAAAGGAAGGGCCCCCACAUUGGAACUGAGACACGGUCCAAACUCCUACGGGAGGCAGCAGUGAGGAAGAUUGGUGAAUGGGCGAGAGCCUGAACCAGCCAAGUAGCGUGCAGGAAGACGGCCCUAUGAGUUGUAAACUGCUUUUAUAAGGGAAUAAAGUGGGAGUCGUGACUCCUUUUGCAUGUACCUUAUGAAUAAGGACCGGCUAAUUCCGUGCCAGCCGCCGCAGUAA
rnacentral:rRNA from 1 species